UACAGAGGGUGCAAGCGUUGUUCGGAUUCAUUGGGCGUAAAGGGUGCGUAGGCGGCGCGGUAAGUCGGGUGUGAAAUCUUGGAGCUUAACUCCGAAACUGCAUUCGAUACUGCCGUGCUUGAGGACUGGAGAGGAGACUGGAAUUUACGGUGUAGCGGUGAAAUGCGUAGAUAUCGUAAGGAAGACCAGUGGCGAAGGCGGAUCUCUGGACCGAGACUGACGCUGAGGCGCGAAAGCGUGGGGAGCAAACAGG
rnacentral:rRNA from 1 species